rnacentral:rRNA from 1 species
GCAGCAGGCGCGAAAACUCUACACUGCAGGCAACUGCGAUAGGGGAACAUCGAGUGGCGUCCAUAUUGGAUGUCUGUCCUCCCGCCUAAAAAGCGGGAGUUAGCAAGGGCCGGGCAAGACCGGUGCCAGCCGCCGCGGUAAUACCGGCGGCUCGAGUGGUGGCCGAUAUUAUUGAGUCUAAAGGGUCCGUAGCCGGCUUUGCAAGUCUCUCGGGAAAUCCAGCGGCUUAACCGUUGGUCGUCCGGGGGGUACUACAUUGCUUGGGACUGGGAGAGGUAGGAGGUACUCAGGGGGUAGGAGUGAAAUCCUGUAAUCCUUUGGGGACCACCGGUGGCGAAGGCGUCCUACCAGAACAGGUCCGACGGUGAGGGACGAAAGCUAGGGGCACGAACCGGAUUAGAUACCCGGGUAGUCCUAGCCGUAAACGAUGCUCGCUAGGUGUCACAACAGUCGUGAACUGUUGUGGUGCCGUAGGGAAGCCGUGAAGCGAGCCACUUGGGAAGUACGACCGCAAGGUUGAAACUUAAAGGAAUUGGCGGGGGAGCAC